ACGAGGAAGCGGGGCCCGCCGUCCGGCGGGCCCCGCUUCCUCGU
rnacentral:pre_miRNA from 1 species